UACGUAGGGUGCAGGCGUUAAUCGGAAUUACUGGGCGUAAAGCGUGCGCAGGCGGUUUGCUAAGACAGGUGUGAAAUCCCCGGGCUUAACCUGGGAACUGCGCUUGUAACUGGCAAGCUAGAGUGUGGCAGAGGGGGGUGGAAUUCCACGUGUAGCAGUGAAAUGCGUAGAUAUGCGGAGGAACACCAAUGGCGAAGGCAAUCCCCUGGGCCUGUACUGACGCUCAUGCACGAAAGCGUGGGGAGCAAACAGG
rnacentral:rRNA from 1 species